UACUUUUAACAGAGAGAUAGGGGCAUGUUUUUCCCCUGAGAUUUUUGACAUGCAGAAUGAAGCCUACGAUUGUAGUUUGAAAAGUCAAGAAUUGUCUUACAUUAUAAAGAGGGAUUACUAGAAGUCUCAGUAAAUCGGAUCCCGUUUGAGUCCGCCCGCUAAAGAUAAGUUCUCUAGAUGAAGACUAUGGACACUUGAACACGCAAUAGACCGGCAGAAUCCAGACUGGUCAGAAUCUAUCAGUCAAUACCGCGCGCAUUUCCUCGAUUCCCAAUCAUGAUCACAAUGGAACUUCUUUAAAAAAAUCCGAUUUAAAGGGAUCCUGACAUUGAACGAAAAAAAUGGAAGUCAUGCUUUUGCUUCUUCACUGACGGCAAGCAACACAAAGCGUGCGAACUUGACACGAUUAUCCUUAGAAAUCAUGAGAACCUUGAGUGUCCUUGACAUGAUUAUUGUAUAAUCUGCAGCUAGAUGACGUCACAGGCGCUGAUUUGUUCACUGUAAGCUUUCGGCCAAUCAGAAAAGAGAUAGUGAGUUCAAUGUAUAAUACUAUUAAAAACUGCACGGAACAUACGUUCGGUCCACCUUUAUGAAUUUCUUCACGUUAUCUGUCCUUGUUUCAUGUAAGAGAGAAGAUCGGGCUAGAGAGGAAUACUGGUUCUCACGUAGGUUUUCUCUCCAAAAAGAAGUGUAAUUUGAAAAUAUGAAGAGAGCAAAGCUGUGGUUGCAGAAGGAAAUUUUUCAGAGUAAUUCUAUUCCUAAGAGAUCAAGGUACUAAUGAGACAAAUGAGUCUAUGAACCAUGAGUCAUUAGUUAAUGCCAGUCUUUCAAGUAUAUGCUGUGUUACCAUUACCAUUAGUGGGAGUUAACUGUAAACAGGCCGGCCAACCUGGGCUAACCAGAGCGCUAUCUACUGAGCUAAACCGGAACACUGUCGAGGCUAACCGGAGCGCUGUUAAGACUAACCGAAAUACUAUUCAGGCUAACCAUAAUGCUAUUCAGGCUGGUAUGAUGGAAAAGACGAGGCAUAGGGUACCAGGGUUGGGGUGUCGGGGUGUCGGGUUGCCGGCCGGUAGCUGGGUAGCCGGGCUAGGGCUGGACUGCCGGGUGCCGGAAUCUAUGGAAAACAGGGGGUGCCGGGGUCUGUGGUAAACACGGCAACCCGUCACCCCGACCUCAGUACCCCGUACCCCGUGCCCCGCCUUUUUUACCAUGCCAUUCAGGCUCAACGAAGGUGCUUUUUUAGUUAACCGAAGUGUUAUCUAGGCUGGAAGGAUGGAGAACUUGGCUCCUAGUGCGUCAGGGUGUAACCAGGAUUCUUCAAAGGGGGGUCACACUGUGUCAAAGGGAUGGUGCACACCAGAUUGUCAUGUCGUUUUCGCCACCUUUUGUAGGUUGUUUACUUGAAAAAGGCUUACAAAAGGACGGGGGGUCACGGGCACCUCAGGACCCCCCUAGCUACCCCUCUGUAGUGCAUGCAACUAAAAUCAAACCUAUGGCUUGAAGUGCUAUUCAGGCAAACCAGAGAACUAUUUAAGCCAAGUGGAGUGCUACUCGGGCUAACUCAAGUGCUAUUCAGGUUAACGCAAGUGCAAUUAGACUAGUGACUUAAUGACUAAUGACUGAAGAAUCUUGAGACCUCUGUUCCCAUACUUGUGGAUUCCUAGAUCAGUGAUCCCAAUGCUCUAACUGAUGUAUCGAGCGUGGCUCGGUCAAUUUAAGUCAGUGCCACACUGUGUGACCUUGCCAGUAAUGUCAGUGACUAGGCUUCGUUUUACACCGACUUGUUAGAUGACUUAGAUCGCGAGGCAAUAGACAGCAUCUAUGCACAGUUUUCGGGGAAAAAAUGUCUCAGAACUUUUAGCAAGAGACUUGUUUUGAGGGAUGGUUUAUUCUAAUCCUUUUAAAGACAAUGCUUAGUAGAAUACAUCAAGAAUUCAAUGUAUCAACAAGAUUUUGGCGCUGAAUAGACUACCGUGUGGCACGACAUUUUUGCCAAAAUUUAACUUUGAGGAUCUGCGAUUUUUUUGCAGUUUGGGGAAACUAAUUUUUUGAAAGACUGGUUUUUCGAGCUUGGAAUCAAUUUUUGCGAUUUUCAGAAAAUCGCAUGUAUUUGAAAUACAACAUUUUCGGCGUUUUUCUCAGAUUAUACUGCUCGGUAAACCUUCAGACGAUCUCAUGUAGUUUAAUUAAGCCCGGCCUGGGUCAGGAAUGUAAAGCAGAGUUAUGGUUGGGCAGCUAUAUCUCAGUCUUGUCAUAUUUGUUUUACCAAGAUUAACUUUUCCCUGAUUAUAAAACUCGGCGGCCUGCCUUGCCUUUUAUUUGAUCACGUGACGUGUCACGUGAUCAAAUGAUAUGUUGUUAAAAUUUGGUAAAUCGGCGUAUUGGUGGCGAAUUUCAUUCUAUUGAUCAAUAAAUGGGCAUUUUCCAUGCAAAUUUAAAUUAUCUAGCUUGUUACCGUUGAAAAGAUCUUCCUUGAUUUCGUUUUGAAAAGAUAUAAAUGAUCAAAAGUCGAAUUUUAUUGAAAAACGACCUUUGACCCUAUCAAAUUUUUCGGCGAAAAGAGGGACAGUCAUUCCAAACGUGAGAGGACGGAAAUAGUUGAUCUGCAUCUAAAACGCGUUUUUGUUGGAUGAUAUUACUAAAAACCGCCAUCGAUUCCGCCAAUAGUGACCAUUUUCCGUUAAAAGUCACGUGACAUGUCACAUGACCAGUCAGAAGCACCAGUUCUACUUUAAAAUGUUCAGGACGUUAAAACCUAACUGCGUGCUAAAUUUGAUUCCAUUGCCAUUUGUGCCUUCAGAAAUAUAAUAAAUUAUUUUUAUUAGUAAAAGCCUUCGAAUGUGGUCCAGGCUUUAAACACGAAGGCGCGGUAUAAAAAGACAGUAUUCUACAAUACCCACUGGGAUCAGACUUGACAUUACAAGUACAGUUGAACCCAUUCUCGUCACCAGAG